AGAGUUUGAUCAUGGCUCAGGAUGAACGCUAGCGACAGGCUUAACACAUGCAAGUCGAACGGCAGCAUGAUCUAGCUUGCUAGAUUGAUGGCGAGUGGCGCACGGGUGAGUAAUACAUCGGAACGUGCCCUGUAGUGGGGGAUAACUAGUCGAAAGAUUAGCUAAUACCGCAUACGACCUGAGGGUGAAAGUGGGGGACCGCAAGGCCUCAUGCUAUAGGAGCGGCCGAUGUCUGAUUAGCUGGUUGGUGGGGUAACGGCCCACCAAGGCGACGAUCAGUAGCUGUUCUGAGAGGAAGGUCGCCCACACUGGUACUGAGACACGGACCAGACUCCUACGGGAGGCAGCAGUGAGGAAUAUUGGUCAAUGGGCGAAACCCUGAUCCAGCAACGCCGCGUGUGUGAAGAAGGCCUUCGGGUUGUAAAGCACUUUUGUCCGGAAAGAAAUGGCUCUGGUUAAUACCUGGGGUCGAUGACGGUACCGGAAGAAUAAGGAUCGGCUAACUCCGUGCCAGCAGCCGCGGUAAU
rnacentral:rRNA from 1 species